AGCCGGUCAGUUCUAUUAGGAAUAAAAGCGGAUUCGGUAACGCAUCAGAAAUAAUCGAUCUCGUAUAAUAAAUUGCGGGUGUUUGAAAUUUGAAAAGAAAUCGGAACCGGAAAUUUCUCCGCACAGCUUUGCAACGAUAACAUAGGUAACUGCGAUUUCAAGAUGGACACGUAGUACGCACGAAAUGGCGGAGAACGUCAAAGUGAUCGUGAGAUGUCGGCCGAUGAACAGGAAAGAGACCGAGAGCAAUUGCAAGGUAAAAAUGAUAACAAACGGUGACGGAGUGAAGAGCAAACGUAUGUUGCAGUGCGUGGUGAAGACCAACAACUGCGUAGUGGAGAUAUGGGACCCGGGGGAGGGGCCCUCGUUUCCCAAAACUUUCACCUUCGAUUCCACCUACGACCAAAGUUCGACCACCGAAGCGAUCUACAACGAUAUUUGUUACCCCUUAGUCGAGAGCGUCUUGGAGGGUUACAACGCGACGAUCUUCGUCUACGGCCAGACCGGCUGCGGAAAAUCGUUUACGAUGGAGGGGGUCAAAGGCGGAGACCCCGCCCACAGGGGCGUCAUUUCCAGAACGUUUGACCACGUGUUCGAAGCGAUAUCCGUCACGACGGGGGUCAAGUAUCUCGCGUUGGUCAGCUACCUGGAGAUCUACAAUGAACAGAUUCGGGAUUUACUAGUGCCAAACGAUAAAAUGGCCACCAGCAGCACGCUGAGCCUCAAAGAGACCCCUAACGAAGGGGUCACGGUUCCAGGCCUGACCCAGCAUCCGGUCCACAACGUAAACGAGUGCGAAAAUUUCCUCAACGUCGGUUCCAAAAAUCGCAUGAUCGGAGCGACGCUGAUGAACCAGAACAGCUCCAGAUCGCACAGCAUCUUCACCAUCAGCAUCGAGCAGAUCAGCAAUUUGAACAACAACGAAAGUAUACGGAAAGGAAAGUUAAAUUUGGUGGACCUCGCGGGUUCCGAGAGGCAGACCAAAACCGGAGCCACCGGCGACCGUCUCAAAGAGGCGACCAAAAUAAACCUGUCUUUGAGCGCGUUGGGAAACGUUAUCUCGGCCCUAGUGGACGGCAAAGCCAAACACAUUCCCUACAGGGAUUCGAAACUGACGAGGCUGCUGCAGGAUUCUUUGGGCGGAAACACCAGGACCUUGAUGAUCGCGUGCAUCAGCCCGUCGGACAGGGAUUACAUGGAGACGCUGUCAACGUUGAGGUAUGCGAACAGGGCGAAGAACAUCCACAACAAGCCCAAGGUCAAUGAGGAUCCCAAAGACGCGAUACUACGUCAGUACCAGGAAGAAAUCGAGAGGUUGAAGGCGCUGCUCGAGAACCAACAGCCGACGGAGGCAGUGGCGCUGAGCGAAUCGAUCGAGAUCAACGACAACGUUGACUUCGACGCGAAACGGGACCAUCUGGUGCAGCAGUACCAGCUCGAAAUGGAGAAGCUUAAGAAUCUGCACGAAAGCGAGAAAAACGAAAAAGAAACGAUCCUGAAGCAGAUCCAAACGAUUAAAGAGGAAUACGAGGCCAACAUCAGACAGCUGAACGAAGAGAUCAGGGAGAAUAGGAAGAAGGACGCGAGCUCCAAAGAGGAAAUAGUAAAAAGGAUCGAAGUGCUGAAAGCGGCACUAAUAGGAGGCGAAAAGGCGGAUGAUAAGGAGUUGUCGGAGAGGCGGAAGAAAAAGAAACUGGCAGCCCAGAAAAGGGCGAGCUUGAUAGCACACCUGUUGGCAAAAAUCGAAAUGAACGAGGACCGCGAGAUCCUGCAGAAUCAGUACAAGGACAUCAGUCAGGAGUUGCUGAUCAAAACCGAAGCGCUGAGACGGUACAGGCACCGGGUGAAAGCGUUGGAGAAGGAGGUCAAGGACAUCCACAGCGAGUUCGAGCAGGAACGCGAGGACUACCUGGAGACCAUCAGGCGCCAGGACCGUAGUGUCAAAUUGUCCGCGCAGAUUGCCGAGAAGCUGGCGGGAACUCUGAAAAAAGAGUGCAACUACAGCGACUUGGAGGCCAUCAGAGAGCAGGCCAUUUGGCUUGACGACAGCCAAAAAUACAAGCUGCCGGACGUCGUCGUAGCCAAAACCAAGCUGCCACCGGCCGGUAGAUUUUUCGACAUUCAAACGGCUCCCGCGAGACUUAACAGCGAACCCUCCGUCGACCGCGAGGAUAGGGCUGAUAAGGUCUGCCUAAUGAAAACGUUUGAAUGUUCUUUUAGCGUUUCAAAUCGCAUGCCCGCUGAUUUUCUGUACUAUACGGGGCGAGCCAAAGUAUCCGAUUGUUUUUUGCGACCGGAGUAUAGUCCUUUCGCAGAUAAGAGCAGUUUUGGUUUAUUAUUGAACGCGACAACAAUAUGCAGUGCAGGAUCGCACUGUAUAUAUUAUUAAUUUUGCUAUAUUCGAACAUCAGAAAUAUCGAAAUAGGGAUCAUCGAUAAGAAGAUGGGGCACUUUCCCAUUACAAACAAAAUGUAGGAGGGUGCCUGAAAUGUUUCCAAAUCGGUGGAUCAGUCGAAGAGAGACUAUGGAGUGGCCGCCACGUUCAACAGAUUUAAAUCCCCUAGAUUUUUUUCUUUGGGGUCAAAUCAAAACUAAAGUGUACGAAACCAAAUAAACCUUUGUAAGUGUACCAAUUCGCUAAAAAUGGAAUAAAGUGAAAGAAAAGUUUGAUAAUUUUGGGAAAAAACCCUAAUUAGAAAAGAGUUGUGUGACCUAACGGUUAUAAUACUCUAUAAGGUUGAACACGUAACACUAUGGUAGGAGCAGAAACUCUGCGUGUCCCGUUUUCAAUUUUGAAUUUUCAACUUUAUAUUAUUCGACGUUGUUCAAUACAUAAAAAAUAGUGUAAUUCGGGUGGUGAGGUCUAGCUUGCUGCUACUCAUAUCUAACCACUCAGUACAGUUACUAACAACAUGGUAUUACAAAUAAACAAGAAAAACAACAGAACAAAUUCUUAACAGCAUAAAAAUAUACAAAAUAAGUAUAUAUACAGCGUGGCACAAAUAUAAGAAAUUUAGAACAAAGAUAUAAAAAGCAAAACGAGCAAUAACAGUACGAUCUUACGAGUGACAUGAAACGAAUGCACAUCAAUAGAGAAAUAUUACGGAAGCCACAUCCAAAAUCAUUCAAAGGUAUGCAGAAAAACAUAGAGAUAUAACAGUUUUAUAAAGGAGAUCUAAAGUGGUCCUGUAGAUCGAGCAAACCUUAAUGCUGUGGGGAAUAGAAUUGAAAUAUUUUUCUGCAUUGUAACUUGUAGCUAAACGACUUCUGAAACAUGGCCGUUCUGCACCUUGAAACUGUCAGAAAAUGCCUAUAACUCCUGGCCCUAUUAGCUGUUGUUAAUUGAUAAUUUUAAAAACAAGCAUACGAGUUUCCAGUCUAAGCCAAUUAGAAUUUGAACGUAAAGGAGAGACGUAAUCAAAACGUCUCAUCCAGAACAAAACCUUAUACAGCUGUUUUCUAAUUUUUUCUAAAUUCUAAUUUCAAUUCUCGUGGACGGGUAACAAAUUAUUUAAACAGAUAAAGAUCUUAAUACUUUUUAUAAAACUUCUAGAUUCCUCCUGAGUCGGUUUUUGUUGAGUCAAACUAACUAAAGUUUCGCCAAUCAUCCUGUUGGCUUCUUCAGAGCUUGACUGAAACUGUCUCGCAUUUUAUUCUGUACCUACUGUUAUAUUGUUUGAGGGGGGCGGAGCUAAAUGAGAUGCGCCGUCUCGGAUGACUGAUUCCCAUAUUGGUAACAGGUAGAGACCUGGAUCGCGGUUAAGAUUGUUAGGUUGCUUAUAGAUUUCUAUAGACUCUCCAAAAGUUUUAUAAAAAAGUGUUACAGUAGCCUGUGGAAGUUUCUUAAAAAAAAAGAUCUUAAGUUUACAAUAACUUUGUUGGACUAGAUAAGACACGUGAGGUCUAAAUUUCAUUUUGUUCUCAAAUUUUUGAGUUUUUAAAGUUGUUAACGUGAAGUUUGUGUACAAGGCAGAAGUCGCUUACAAUCUGUAUCAUGAUAUCCAGACCCGUCAAAAGUACGUGUCAAAUGGUCUGCUAUAAUCAAGACCGAGGCAACUAGAUUGCAAAUUAGAAACUACAAUAGUGUAGCUGACAAUGACAUUAACAAUUAGAGUAGUGCACGUAGGUGCAUCAGAGCACCUGAAUGUGCAGUAAAGAUGGUGUAUACAAUUUUCUAAACGUUUUUUAAAGAGAUCUACUGCAUUUACAUAAAAUUACCAAAGAAAGAAGCAGUGACAUCUAUAUAUAUUUUUUGUUCUACAAAAAGGCAAGGAACGGUUCUGGAUUCUGAACGACAUAGUCUCUAACUUCUCUCCUAAAGCUAUUUUCAUUUUUGAUAUUCCUUAAUUGCAGAGGAAGACAUUUAUAAAAUUUUAGUGCUAAAUAGUUUAAGUAUAUUUGCUUAGUUAUUUUUACUAUAAGGAACAUUGCAAUAAAUUCUUUUGACUUAUAGUACCGUACGGACUUUUAAUAAAGUUUUGUCUAAUUUAUUUUUCUUUUUCUUUUUCUGGCGCUCAUCACUUUUGUUACGCCCUGGUUUCCGAUAGAUUUUUGGUCUUUGGCUUUUCCGGUGUUCUUUAGGUUGCCAUUCCAUUGCUUGUUUGGGAAGUCUUGUGUGAGGUAUUUAUUGCACGUGUCCAAACCAAAUUAAUUAUUAUUAAUAAUUUCUUUGACUCUGUCGUUUCAAACCCUAUCCCUUCGAGAAAUCCUUAGUGACCCACGCACUGCAUCCAUCUCAACAGCUUCUACCCUUUUUUUAUAUUUUUCUGUAAGUCUCCAACUUUCAGCCCCAUAUAGUAAGCUGUUUUUUAUAUAUAUUAUAUUUUCUUUUUUCUAUUAUAUGCUUGUUCCAUAGUAUUCCAUUAAGACAUGGUAUUACUUUUUGGGCUGUAGUUAUUCUUUUUCCUAUUUCCUUGUUGUCUGUUGUAUCAAAAGUAACUCCCAGAUAUUUGUACUCUAGGCAAUGAUGCAAUGUUUAAUGAGGAAUGUGUGGUUUAAUUGUAGAUCACCAGGUUCUGUGUUAACUGCAAGGGCCCAUUUUUCAAGUUUACGCAUCAUGUACUCCAUAUUCUUUCUUUUAUCAUUUGUCAUUAUCACUUGAUAUUACUGCUUGAUCGUCUGCAAACUGCAAGGUGUAUAAAUGAAAGUCAUUAAGUUCAAUCCCCAUUCCGUAUAUUUUCCGUUUCCAUUGCUUUAGGGCGGCAGUCACAUAGAUAUUAAACAGUGUUGGAGAUAUACAGCAUCCCUGUCUGAGGACUGCGAAUUCCUUGCUGACAUAUUUCCCUAACUUCACUCUUGAUGUUAUACAAAUCUUGUAGUGCAGCAAUGAGUGUAUGAUUGAUGUUUGUGUCCUUUAGGAUUUUCCAAAGUCUUGUUGUCGGUAUUGUAUCGUAAGCUUUUUGAAGAUCAACAACAGAUAUACCGUCCUCGAUCUCCUUGAAUACAUUCUUUCAGGUUUUUUUAAAAUCACAUGAAGGUUACCCUUUUCAAUCACAAAUGGCUCAAGGCUCUACUGUAAAGACCAACCAAAACUGUCAAUCCGUAUCUGAAAAUCUGUUCGGUUAACGAUUUGUAAAUAAUAACAAGAUUUUUUUCAAAAUAAAUUUUCUUAAUAGAUAGAAUUUGUAUAUUAGAUAUGUCCAGCUUCAAUCCAUGACUUCCCUUUAAAUAAAAAUAUAGUGUAUAUCAAUUUGAAUACAUUAAACAAUAUGGGCCCCAGGAUAUAUCAUGAGAUACUUUUAAGCCGGCGGUUAUUGUUCUAUGAUGAGCUCUCAAACCGGAGUGAGUAGAAGGAAUUAUAGCAUUCCGCAAAGAAUAAUCCAGGAUCUUAGAAAGAACCGGCAGUCUUUACUUUUUUUACAGCUAAGUCAAAAAGCAUUUGGGAGCCAAUCGGUUUCUCAUCUGGCAUGUAAAAUUGUUGCUCCUUUACUUUUAUUAAAAGGAGCUGUGGUUCUACAGUUCCAUCCUUUGGUGUCAAACCAUGUGCCUCAUCAAGGUUAAUGAUUUUUGUAAUAGCUGUAAAUUUUGUAGACUUGUAAUGUUCUGUUGAUUACGGAUUUGAUGGAUUAUUCUUAAAGGGAAAUUCGUGGGUGGGAAAAGCAAAUCGAAAUCGAAUAUUUCAGGACAAUUCUACUGUUUUAUACGACAAUAAUGCUUUGUAAAUGUAGUACAUUUUCCGUCCUUGUCGCUUCCUUCUUGUUUCAAUGGGAUUUGACAGUAUUAUAAACAGUUUUUACAAUUUUCUUCGCAUCGCAUAAUGAAACACUGUGUUCGGCGGUAGAAAUGUCUUCCCAGGGACGGGAUAUAAAGAGAAAAUGAGACUACACCAAACUACAAUUGUAUGUGAAACGUCCACUUAUUACAGUCAUUACUCCAAAUCCAUUUAUCUGUGAAAGUUCUAUAGAUGUCCAUCCACGUGCUAUUUGCACAGCGUAAGGCGCGUGGCUGUCCCUUUCUUCGACUCUUUUUUUUGGGUGCCAUACCAAAAAGACAAAGAUUGCUGAUGAUGUUCAAAUAAACAAAAAAUUGCCGUUUUUCAAGAUUCCAAUCCCUUAAUCCUCCAAAUAUUAAAUGAAAUGAUGAAUACGUACAUACGGGACGUCACCUCUCGUGUAAAAAAAAACUCAAAAUUGGCUCAUUUUUGGCCCCACGCUAUCAUUGUAUAUAUUUAAAUAUGAAAAGCGUUUAUUUUGCUACCGCAUUAUUACCGGUUCCGGUUUUUCUUUGUCUUUCGCACGCCGCUUUUCCGCACAGGACAAAAUCACAACCGAGUCACGCCGCCGUUCGGUGAUUCGAACCCGGGCAGCCCUAACAUAUUCGAAAGCGAGAAGUUUGAGGAGCCCAGCAAGCCGCAGGAUCUUAUCAGCAGUUACUUCCAGCCGACGACCAAGCGCGCAAACGAA